UAAUAUGAUGAGUUUUUAAAACACUUUUCUUAUGCUAGAUAGUAUCUGAAAGUUUAACUUAAUGAUUGUGGUGUUUAUGACAAUGGGAAUCUCUCUGAUA
rnacentral:snoRNA from 1 species